GAUGAACGCUGGCGGCGUGCCUAAUACAUGCAAGUCGAGCGAACGGACGAGAAGCUUGCUUCUCUGAUGUUAGCGGCGGACGGGUGCGUAACACGUGGAUAGCAACCUUAAAUGAAUGGGAUAACUACGGGAACCGGGGCUUAGUACCGAAAAUAAUUUUCAACCCAAGGGUUCAAAGGUGAAUGAGGGUCUUGUUGUCCAUAUAAUAGGGUACCGCGCUGCUUUAGCUAGUUGGUAAGGUAAGGGCUUACAAAGACAACGAGUCAUAGCCGACCUGCGAGGUUGAUCGGCCACACUGGAACUGAGACACGGGCCAGACUCCUACGGGAGGCAGCAGUAGGGAAUCUUCCGCAAUGGGCGAAAGCCUGACGGAGCAACGCCGCGUGAGUGAUGAAGGUCUUCGGAUCGUAAAACUCUGUUAUUAGGGAAGAACAUAUGUGUAAGUAACUGUGCACAUCUUGACGGUACCUAAUCAGAAAGCCACGGCUAACUACGUG
rnacentral:rRNA from 1 species